AUGAGGAGUGCAACAGGAAGACAACACAAGGCAGACAGGUGAGGAUGCAGGGGUGUAACAAGGGGGACCCAGACCAGACAAUCACUAGCAGAGAAUAUUA